GAUGAACGCUGGCGGCGUGCCUAAUACAUGCAAGUCGAGCGAACAGACGAGGAGCUUGCUCCUUUGACGUUAGCGGCGGACGGGUGAGUAACACGUAGGUAACCUACCUAUAAGACUGGGAUAACUUCGGGAAACCGGAGCUAAUACCGGAUAAUAUUUCGAACCGCAUGGUUCGAUAGUGAAAGAUGGCCUUGCUAUCACUUAUAGAUGGACCUGCGCCGUAUUAGCUAGUUGGUAAGGUAACGGCUUACCAAGGCAACGAUACGUAGCCGACCUGAGAGGGUGAUCGGCCACACUGGAACUGAGACACGGUCCAGACUCCUACGGGGGGCAGCAGUAGGGAAUCUUCCGCAAUGGGCGAAAGCCUGACGGAGCAACGCCGCGUGAGUGAUGAAGGUCUUCGGAUCGUAAAACUCUGUUAUUAGGGAAGAACAAACGUGUAAGUAACUGUGCACGUCUUGACGGUACCUAAUCAGAAAGCCACGGCUAACUACGUG
rnacentral:rRNA from 1 species